rnacentral:rRNA from 1 species
GACGAACGCUGGCGGCGUGCUUAACACAUGCAAGUCGAACGGAAAGGCCUGCUUUCCCUUGUGGAUUGCGGGUACUCGAGUGGCGAACGGGUGAGUAACACGUGAGUGAUCUGCCCCCAACUUGGGUAUAAGCCUGGGAAACUGGGUCUAAUUCCCGAUAGGACUGCAGGGUGGUGCCUGUGGUGGAAAACGAUUUUCUAGUGGUUGGGGAUGAGCUCGCGGCCUAUCAGCUUGUUGGUGGGGUAAUGGCCUACCAAGGCGGCGACGGGUAGCCGGCCUGGGAGGGUGGACGGCCACAUUGGGACGGAGAUACGGCCCAGACGCGUACGGGAGGUAGCAGUGGGGAAUAUUGCACAAUGGGCGGAAGCCUGAUGCAGCGACGCCGCGUGGGGGAUGACGGGCUUGGGGUUGUAAACUCCUUGCGACCGCGAGGAAGCCACCUGGUUGGAAGGGUGGUGACGGUAGUGGUAGAAGAAGCACCGGCUAACUACGUG